AGUAAAUAGAUACCCGGGUAGUCCACGCCGUAAACGAUGGGCACUAGGUGCUGGGGGGAGCGACCCCUUCAGUGCCGCAGCUAAACGCGAUAAGUGCCCCGCCUGGGGAGUACGGCCGCAAGGCUGAAACUCAAAGGAAUUGACGGGGGCCCGCACAAGCGGUGGAGCAUGUGGUUUAAAUUCGAAGCAACGCGAAGAACCUUACCUAGGUUUGACAUGUAGCUGAAAGCCUCUGGAAACAGGGGCCCUUCUUCGGAACAGCUACACAGGUGCUGCAUGGCUGUCGUCAGCUCGUGUCGUGAGAUGUUGGGUUAAGUCCCGCAACGAGCGCAACCCUUGCCCCGUGUUACUAACAGGUAAAGCUGAGGACUCUCGGGGGACUGCCGGCGUCAAGCCGGAGGAAGGUGAGGACGACGUCAAGUCAUCAUGGCCCUUACGCCUAGGGCGACACACGUGCUACAAUGGCGAGGACAGAGGGCAGCGAAGCGGCAACGUGAAGCGAAUCCCAGAAACCUCGUCUAAGUUCGGAUUGUGGG
rnacentral:rRNA from 1 species